CGUUGACCAUUGCAACUCGUGGUUAUCACGUGUACAAUGACUCGCAUCGAUUUAUGUUUUGCUGCGUAAAGGAAAAGAUAAGUAUUUUUUUGAUAAUACUGUAAGAUAUAGGUUACGGCAUCUAUGCUCAAAUAGUUAAAGCAUUAGUUAGGUAGCAGGCCAGGAGGCGCUACGGAAGGAAGAAAGAGAGAGUAUAUAGGUAGAGACAGAGAGAAGUCGAGGAAGCUGCUGCGGUAGAGUUCCAAGAGAGAAGUUAGCAAGAUAGAAAGAGAUAGAAGUAGCUGUAGGAAAGAGACAGAAGUAGCUGUAGGAAAGAGAUAGAAACUAGAGGCAAGUAGGGAGGAAAAGUGAGAGGAAGAACCUCGGAAGCGAAGAACCUCGUGAGUUGCGUGCGGAAGUACGGAAGGGGAGAACGAUAUUCUCUCACGUAUUAGCAGUGGCGAUGUUGGAAUAAAGCACGUGGCCUUCCAACGACAGUUGUCGUGCGUUGUAGCCGAUGGACAUUUGUGAUUGUUGUAAAGUGAUUAAAUAUACUGUUCGUUAUUGUUCCUACAAACUGUAGAAUAUUACCAAACAUUUUGACAAGGAGGAUUCUACGUAUAAUAUCUUGAGUAAUAUAUACAUACUUGGUAUAUUGGCAUUUCAUUAAUAGAUAUAACUAAAAAAUAUGUAAUUUAUUUUAAAAAAUUUGUGUUUAUACUGACAAGCUUAAACUUAAAUGUAUAAUAUGUCUAAUAUAUUAAAACGUAAAACAUCUGUUUCAAAACGUCAUAUUAGGAGAAUUAUUGAAGAUCAAACUAAUAUUGAUGUAACAGGAUUAUCUACACAAAUCAUUAAACAAUCAUGCAGUACUAAUAGAUCUUUUAAAGGUAAUUGUUUGACUAGAUUAAAUAAAAAUAUUCAUGCGUUUAAUAAAGACACUAAUGAAACACUUAAUUCUGAAAUUGAAAUCUGUGAAAAUGAAAAUUAUUAUCUACCAUGUCAAAAUAUAAAUGAUAAUCCUGGCAUGGAAAUAGAUUGUAAUCAUGAUAGUGAUAUUGAAAAUGUCACCACAGAAAAGAAAAGCAGAGAUUACAAUGAUGAUGAUAAUGAUGAUAAAUUUAAAAAUGAUUUAAUUGGCUUUAACAUGGGCUUUAUCGUACAAUAAUAAUCACAAUGCAUGUAAUGCAUUGAUAAAAAUUUUGCAGCAAUAUACAUCAUAUAACUUUCCAAAAGAUAUACGGACGUUACUACAAACUCCACGACAAGUUGAUAUAAUAAAUGCAUGUGGCAGACAAUAUUUUUAUGCAGGUUUGAAUAAUGUAAUUAAGAAAAUAUUUCUAAAAUCGAACGAAAAAUAUAUAAAUUUACUUGUAAAUAUAGAUGGUUUUCCUCUAUCAAAGUCAUCACAGGCUUUAUUAUGGCCUAUUUUACUUUCGAAUACAGUAAAUGAAGAGGUGUAUAUCAGUUGGACACAGAGCAAUUGGACACAGUCCAAUCACAAGUCGCUGUUCCAAGGGACCCUACAAAUGUCUCUAAUCACAUGGUGCUGUGAUUGGCUGUGUCCAAAUGCACCGUGUCCAAGUGCACCGUUCCCUGAAUGAAGAUGUAUAUUUUGUUGGUGCAUAUUUUGGAGGAAAAAAACCGUAAGAUUGUAAUACUUCAACCAUUGGUUAAUGAUUUAAUUUCCUUAAGCAAUGGUUACAUUUAUGAUAAACACGUGAUCAAAAUUAAAUUAUUUGGUUUGAUAUGCGAUGCACCAGCAAAAUCCUUCAUUUUAUGUACAAAGGGUCACACUGGAUUCUACAGUUGUACAAAAUGUACAAUAAAAGGAAAAUAUUUGAAUGGUCGAGUAUGCUUUCCAAAUGCAUCAUAUUCUUUAAGAACUGAUGAUUUAUUUGCCAUUAAUGGUUACAAGAAUUUUCAGAUAGAUUACUUCAUUGUAAAUAAUAUUCCGGAUUUUUUACCUAUAACGAACACACCUUCAGACUAUAUGCAUCUUGUAUUAUUGGGCGUUGUUAAAAAAUUAAUACUUUUAUGGAUAAAAGGACCGCUUUCUAUACGGUUAAGACCAAGAUCAAUUAAAAGAAUAUCAUAUUUAUUAAUCCUACUUAGAAAUAGUGAUUUCUAACUUCACCCAAUGAUUUUGUUAGAAAGCCAAGAUGUAUACAAGAUGUAAAACAAUGGAAAGCUGUAGAAUUCAGAAAUUUUCUUUUAUAUACUGGACCUAUUGUUUUAAGAUAUUCAUUGACAGAAAACCUGUAUAAUCACUUUCUUAUGCUUCACGUAGCAAUUACAAUUCUUGUUCGUCCGGAUUUAUGUAAAACAAAAUUUAUAGAUUAUGCAGAGGCUUUACUUAAAAAUUUCGUCUUAUCAUUUAAAAUAUUGUAUGGGAAAAAAUUUGUGUCACAUAAUGUCCACAACUUAUUACAUUUACACUCGGAUGUAAAAAUAUUUGGUCCGUUAGAUAAGUUCAGUGCAUUUCGCUUUGAAAACUAUAUGAUGUCUAUUAAAAGAUUAUUAAGAAAGAACGAAAAACCACUGCAACAAUUGGUAAAAAGAUAUAAAGAAAAAGAAAAUAUUGAUUUUCUGUUACAAAAAAAAGACCCUAAAGAAAACUUAUGUUCACUAAAAUAUUCACAUAAUGAUGGACCAAUUCUUGAUUAUAUUCAGUCUCAAUCACAAUAUUUACAGUUAUCCACUACAAAAUUUCAUAUACAUUGUAAAAGUAAUAAUAACGGUAAUAAUUGUUGUCUCUUAGUAAACGGGUGUUAUAUUAUUAUUUUAAAUAUAAUGAAACGAAAUAAAAGUAUUUUUGUAAUUGCUAAAAAACUCACAUAUGUAAACAAUGUAUAUGAAAUACCUUGUGAAUCAAGUGAGCUUGGUAUAAAAGUGAUGAUGCUCAAUAGCGAUGAAAUAUUCUCUUAUCCAAUUACAGAUGUGCUCUGUAAAAUAUGGAAAAUUCCUCUUGCAAAUAAACCGAAUACAUUCGCAGUAUUUCCCUUAAACCAUACGAUGUAAAACGAUUUUAAACCACACAUAAUACCUAUAAUUAUUUUUGUAUCAAUGUAUAUAUAUAUAUAUAUAUAUAUAUAUAUAUAUAUAUAUAUAUAUAUAUAUAUAACAUAUAUUUUGUUGUGUACAUAUAAACAUACAUUUAUGUUUUAUAUGCUUCAGUAUAGACACAUUUUGCAUUGUAAAGAAAAAUGAAUACUAAUUAUGUCAUUGCGGAAUUUAACAAUGGACUUCAGGUAAUACCUGCAUUGUGGUACAAUGCAGAUAAACGUUUAAGUAUUUGGUCUGCUCAUUUUAAAAGUAAAUUUAGAAUAAAUAAAGCAAUAAUAACAAGAGAAAUGCCACAAAAUAUUGAAUGGGAGGUAUUACCAGUGAAAAAGAUUUUUGGCAGAGCAGAUAAUUACGAAGAAGAUAUGGGAAAAUUAGUCAUAGCUGAAGACACAUCUAAUAUAGAGGCAUCAUCUCAUGAAUUAAACAUACAAAAGAAAAAAAGAAGAUGUGAGAAAGCCAAGAAAAUUAUGUCAUCUUCUUCAGACGAAGAUGUAUGUUUUAAUGAAGACAAUUUAAGUGAAAACAAUAACGCAAGACAAAGUUGUAGUAACAACCAAAGUUGCAGGCCUCCUGCCUGCAUGUCCAGAAAUUCAAAAUUUUGUAUCUCAAAAAAAGCAUAUGCAGACAUUCACAGAAAACAAUUCUACUAAUGUUUUAUGUUAAAGUUCUUCUUACAAUAAAACUGUUAACAUUGAAAAUAUUUCAAAGAACACAAAAGAUUUUACAGAAAAAUCUAUUGAUAGCGAUAUAGAAAAUAAUUUUGGUGAAUGCAAGAAACUAGUUUUAGGAAAACUAAAUAAAGUUUUAUAUAAACUUAAUAGUAUUGAAAAUAAAAUUGAUGUGCUAGGUGAGAAAAUGCAACGUUAUAAUUAUUCCAGCCAAGAAGAGAUUGUUAUACAACUGCCUAUAACAACAUUUAAAGAAUUAACAACUUUUGAAGAAAAAUUAAAAGAUGUUAAUUUCAAAGAUAAAGCGAUUAAUACGUUUCAACUUGUGGGUGGAAGUACAGCACAUAUGAUACGUAACAUUUUAAAAAAAGCUGUGACAAAUAAUUUGGCACAGCUAAAAAAAGCUUUCAAGAUUUAGGACUUUCAAGAAUAAUUAUACAAGCUAUUCGUACAACACAUAAACAUAUAAAUGACACCGAAAUUGGCGAAACUACUGCCAAGUGGCUAGCCCAAGCUCCUGUUCGAAUUGAGAGAGCAAAAUAACUUAACAAAGAAAAAUCAAUAAAAUAAG